rnacentral:misc_RNA from 1 species
GGAACUUAUGUUUUCUCUCACAAAAGAAUUACUGAAGCUACAGCAUCAUGCACCCCUUCCAUGGAACACAAGUCUUGGUGGAUGCCCCAAUCAAUGUCGUCAUUCAAUUCAGGACUGCAACUCUUACGGUGUCAGGUUCAAGUUCUCAGUCGCAUGCUAUUUGGUGCUUUCCUGAUAUUGUCUAUAGCCUAUCUACUUCUCCAGCGCUCUGCAACUUCAAAUCAGACAAUGCCAGUUACUUUCAUUCUGUUGCUGUUGGGAGUUGGCUGUGGUUUCGCAGGGAAGUUUUGUAUUGACACCUUGGGAGGCAGUGGAUAUCGUUGGUUAAUUUAUUGGGAGACUUUAUGCUUGCUACAUUUCUUUUCGAAUGUCUGUAUCUCGACUUUGUUCCUGAUCCUUAAUGGUCCUGUCACAGUGUCAGAAAAGAGCAUGAGCGAUCGAAGAUUUCCAUACUGGAUUAGGAGAUCUAUGUUUUAUACCACAGUACUUCUUAUUCUCCCCUUGCUAUGUGGUCUGAUGCCUUUUGCUGGCCCCGGUGAAUGGAAAGAUCACUUCUCUUCACUUGUCCUGGAGGCUUUUAUUACUCCAGUUGAAUUUUGAGUAGUAGAGUGCAAGCUUAUAGCAUUAUCGGAUGAAAUACUGUUUUGAUGAAGACCUGUCAAGGAAUUUUGACUAGUAGAAGACGAGUCUGAAGUAUCGAGCUUAAGGAUGAUUAUGUUUC